GACGAACCGUGCGAACGUUAUUCGGAAUCACUGGGCUUAAAGGGCGCGUAGGCGGGUUUCCAAGUUUGCGGUGAAAGCCUCCAGCUUAACUGGAGAAGUGCCGUGAAUACUGGGAACCUCGAGGAGGGUAGGGGCAUCUGGAACGUUGGGUGGAGCGGUGAAAUGCGUUGAUAUCCAACGGAACUCCGGUGGCGAAGGCGGAUCUCUGGGCCGUAACUGACGCUGGAGGAGCGAAAGCAUGGGGAGCGAACAGG
rnacentral:rRNA from 1 species